CGAAGAAGGGUCAAAACUUUUGCGUUUUUCUAGGGGUUAGUUCACCAAAAAUCCGCCACAUGGCGCUAGCUGUACCCCCGGUGGGCGGAGCUUAAAGAAAAUGGCGGUGCCCAGAGAAAUGGGCGGAAAAUUUUAAUAAUUAAUUAAAAAAUUGGAAAAAAUCAAGGAAAAUUAGAAAAAAUCAGGAGAAAAUAAAAAAAAUGAGAAAAAAUGAGAAAAAAAUUAAAAAUAAAUCUGUGAUGCUGUAAAUUGAAAAAAAAUUGUGAAAAUUCGAAGAGAAUCUGUAUACUAUGAGUUUGAGGUUAUAUUGAUACACCUAAAUAAUACUGGGCGCUCGCAGGAGUUGUUGGAGAUCUAGUAAGCAUCAAAAAUCAAUAAAGAAAUUGAAUAAUAUUCAGGAUGCACAGGAGAAAAAAUAAAGAGGAUGACAAGGCAGUGAUUCUUUGUAUUUUGAUCUUGGAAGCGGAAUCUGAUCAAAGAAUCCGAUGACGACUGAGAACUAAUUUGAGGUGUCAGCACGUGUCUACCAAGAGAGGAAUUACCACAAAGCACAGCGAACAUGGGGUGAAUCAACUAUGCCAUUCAAAUUUGAUACAAACUGACUUUGUCACUCAUUAGAAGAACUAGAUCUCUGAGCCCCUCUGAAGAUAAUUUAAAUAACAAUACGCUGGGAUGAUGGAGUUAGUCUUUGGCGUGUCCGGUUCUGCUGAUUCUGUUGAUGUAUUCAUUCUUCAAGGAAGUAAUUGUCGAAGGUGGGAAAUUGGCAGCUCCAGAGAAUCUCUUCCCUGCAUUGAGGAAUCAAGACUCAUCGGUGCAUCUGCAUGAUUGUUCAUUAGUGCACCGAAUAAAAAUCCAUAUAUUAUUUAUAAUGUAGAUAUAGAUCAUGUACAUACUUUCUAAAUUAAUUCAAAUUGUCAUCAGAUAAGAAACCUCUAUGAAUUUUCAUUGUAACACAUUUGCUGUGAAAGAAUAAUUUUCUAACCGAAUAAAUCCAUAUUAUUCCUAA